GGGAGAUGGAUUCUACUUGCCAGCUUUCCCCUGGGUUGGAUUUGAAUCUCCUCAGAUAAUGUUAUUUACAAUAUUUGAAACAUCAUGAAAUGUCAUUCGAUGCUUAAUUAUUUUGUCCUGUUUAGUUUCUUAAUUUAAAUAUGGGAGUCCUAGGAAAGCACUGGGGAACUCUCUCAACUGUGGAAACUGACUUUCCCUGGGGAAGCAUUAGUAUCUCUCAGCAGGGACGACUCUUUUUAAAAAUCACCACUGCAGUGAGCAAAGAAGUGUAACAGUCCAUCUAGGCUCACUGCCCACAGCCCUUUAUCUCCACAUCCGCCCUGGACAUCUGUGCAUAGAAACCUCUGCAGAAGCCAUGAAGAGUCUUUACAGCAUGGGACCUACCUUUCACCACACUGCUCCUGC
rnacentral:lncRNA from 1 species